AUUGAACGCUGGCGGCAGGCCUAACACAUGCAAGUCGAACGAGUGGCGGACGGGUGAGUAAUGUCUGGGAAACUGCCCGAUGGAGGGGGAUAACUACUGGAAACGGUAGCUAAUACAGCAUACCAUCGGAGGUGCCCAGAUGGGAUUAGCUAGUAGGUGGGGUAACGGCUCACCUAGGCGACGAACACUAGCUGGUCUGAGAGGAUGACCAGCCACACUGGAACUGAGACACGGUCCAGACUCCUACGGAAGGCAGCAGUGGGGAAUAUUGCACAAUGGGAGCAAGCCUGAUGCAGCCAUGCCGCGUGUAUGAAGAAGGCCUUCGGGUUGUAAAGUACUUUCAGCGAGGAGGCGGUACUCGCAGAAGAAGCACCGGCUAACUCCGUGCCAGCCGCCGCGGUAAUUC
rnacentral:rRNA from 1 species